GCCAGCGUGGUGUAGUGGUUGAGUGUUGCACUAUGACUCUGGAGAUCAGGGUUCAAAUCCCUGCUUGUCC